GCGCCGAUAGCUCAACUGGCAGAGCAACUGACUCUUAAUCAGUAGGUUCCAGGUUCGAUUCCUGGUCGGCGCA
rnacentral:tRNA from 1 species